AUGCAUGAGUGUAUCUCUAUCCAUGUCUGCCAGGCUGGUGUCCAGAUUGGCAAUGCCUGCUGGGACCUCUCCUGCCUGAAACAUGGCAUCCAGCCUGAUGGCCAGAUGCCAAGUGACAAGACCAUUGGGGGAGGAGAUGACUCCUUUAACACCUUCUUCUGGUAAGCAUGUACCCAGGGCAGUGUUUGUAGACCUGGCACUCAUGGUCAUUGAUGAAGUUCGCACUGGCACCUACUGCCAGCUCUUCCACCCUGAGCAGCUCAUCACAGGCAAGGAAGAUGCUGCCGACAACUAUGCCUGAGGGCACAACACCAUUGGUAAGGAGAUCAUUGACCUUGUCGUGGAGCAAAUUUGCAAGCUGGCCGACUAAUGCACUGGUCUUCAGGGCGUCUUGGUUUUCCACAGCUUUGGUGGGGGAACUGGGUCUGGGUUCACCUCCCUGUUGAUGGAACGUCUCUCUGCAGAUUAUGGUCAGAAGUCCAGGCUGGAGUUCUCCAUUCACCCAGCUCCCCAGGUUUCCACAGCUGUAGUUGAGCCCUACAACUCCAUCCUCACCACCCACACCACCCUGGAGCACUCUGAUUGUGCCUUCAUGGUAGACAAUGAGGCCAUCUAUGACAUCUGUCAUAGAAACCUCGAUAUUGAGCGCCCAACCUACACUAACCUUAACCGCCUUAUUAGCCAGAUCGUGUCCUCCAUCACUGCUUCCCUCAGAUUUAAUGGCGCCCUGAAUGUUGACCUGACAAUUCCAGACCAACCUGGUGCCUUAUUCCUGCAUCCACUUCCCUGUGGCCACAUAUGCCCGUGAUCUCUGCCGAGAAAGUCUACCAUGAGCAGCUUACUGUAGCAGAGAUCACCAAUGCUUGCUUUGAGGCAGCCAACCAGAUGAUGAAAUGUGACCCUCGCUGUGGUAAAUAUAUGGCUUGCUGCCUGUUGUACCGUGGUGAUGUGGUUCCCAAAGACGUCACUGCUGCCAUUGCCACAAUCAAGACCAAGCAUACCAUCUGUUUUGUGGAUUGGCUUUAAGGUUGGCAUUAACUACCGGUCUUCCACCGUGGUGCCUGGUGGAGACCUGGUCAAGAUACAAAGAGCUGUGUGCAUGCUGAGCAAUUCCACAGUCAUUGCUGAGGCCUGAGCUCGUCUGGACCACAAGUUUUACCUGAUAUAUGCCAAGCGUGCCUUUGUUCACUGGUAUGUGGGUGAGAAGAUGGAGGAAGGAGAGUUUUCUGAGGCCUGUGAGGACAUGGCUGCCCUUGAGAAGGAUUAUGAGGAGCUUGGAGUAGUGUUGAGGGAGAGGAUGAGGGUGAAAAGUAUUAA